UACAGAGGGUGCGAGCGUUAAUCGGAAUUACUGGGCGUAAAGGGCGCGUAGGUGGUUUAUUAAGAUGGAUGUGAAAUCCCUGGGCUUAACCUAGGAACGGCAUCGAUGACUGAUAAGCUAGAGUACGGUAGAGGGUAGUGGAAUUUCCGGUGUAGCGGUGAAAUGCGUAGAGAUCGGAAGGAACACCGGUGGCGAAGGCGCCUACCUGGACAGCUACUGACACUGAGGCGCGAGAGCGUGGGGAGCAAACAGG
rnacentral:rRNA from 1 species